AGCAGCCGCGGUAAUUCCAGCUCCAAUAGCGUAUAUUAAAGUUGUUGCAGUUAAAAAGCUCGUAGUUGAAUUUCGGGAUCAAAGGAUCGGUCAUGCCUUGGUAUGUACUGGUUUUAUUGGUUCUCACCUUCUAAAGAACCAUAAUGUCAUUCAUUUGAUGUUAUGGGGAAUUAGGACUGUUACCUUGAAAAAAUUAGAGUGUUUAAAGCAGGCUUACGCUUGAAUACAUUAGCAUGGAAUAAUGAAAUAGGACAUCAGAUUCUAUUUUGUUGGUUUCUAGGAUCGAUGUAAUGAUUAAUAGGGAUAGUUGGGGGCAUUAGUAUUCAAUUGUCAGAGGUGAAAUUCUUGGAUUUAUUGAAGACUAACUACUGCGAAAGCAUUUGCCAAGGAUGUUUUCAUUAAUCAAGAACGAAAGUUAGGGAUCGAAGACGAUCAGAUACCGUCGUAGUC
rnacentral:rRNA from 1 species